rnacentral:lncRNA from 1 species
UUUUUUGAUGGAGUUUCUCUCUGGUUGCCCAGGCUAAAGUGCAAUGGUGUGAUCUCGGCUCACUGCAACCUCUGCCUCCCAGGUUCAAGUGAUUCUGCCUCAGCCUCCUGAGUAGCUGGGAUUACAGGCAUGUCCCACCAAGCCCAGACAUGAACUUAUGAAUUCAACACAUGAAGAUUUACAGCUUGACAAACCAGCUUCAGGAGGGAUUGUGCUGCAUUCGAACAUAGGUUCUGCCAUCAAACACAGAAUGCCCUGAUCCUUAGAGGCAGAGGCAGCUCUUCAGCCUAUGGGUGAGUGGUGGUUAGGGAGGAGCUGUCUUGGGGCUGUUCUGGAGCUGUUGAGGUCGGGUGUCUGUCUGGAUACUCACAGCCUAUCUGUUGAGGAGAAUGCAGUUCUCAUUGUGCUGCCUUUGGUGGUGCUGUGUGUGGCUUUUUAGAUGUGGGUGGAGGUGAGUUGGGGGAGUUAAUGAGAUCUUUUUUAGGUGCUUUUGAUAAAGUAGUCUGCACUAGAGGAUUCAUUGUGACUUUUUCCCUUAACCUGCACAUACUUCUCUGCUCACCCUUGCUGUCUUUCUCAUGUCUUUGAUUUUCCAAUCUCCUCUUGGUUGAAUUUACAUAAAGGCUCUGCUAUGGUUUAAAUGUGUCCCCCAAAGUUUAUGUGCUGGAAACUCAAUCCUCAAUGCAACAGUUGAGAUGUGGGGCCUAAUAAGACAGCCCUCAUGAAUGAAUUAAAGUUGUUAUUGUGGUAAUAGAUUAGUAAUGGGGAGUGCUCCCAGCAUUCCUGGGGCAUUCCUGUUUAUUAUCUCAAUACCUGGUGCUGAUGUUUCCUGUCCCUUAUCAGGAAUCCUGACUACUCUGUGUCUGAUGACUGGAACUUACCGAGCGCUGCUUAGUUGCAUCAUAGACACCACCUGUCUUUGAACAGCUACCCUGCCUCUUGAUGAGAAUGCAAAGGCUGCCAGGGGCCACUGCUGUAUGGAGUGGAUUUCGGUCAUUUCUGCUUAGAGCACAGAGCUCAAGCUGUUGGACUCGCCGAGGCAGUAAAAGUACCAUAUCCUGUGUUUGAAUCAAACUCCAAUUUCCUGUAUAUAGAAGGCUUGCCAGACAGGAUUCCCUUCCGAAGCCCUACCUGGUUUGGAAUUCCAUGACUUGAAAGGAUCCUUCGUGGGAGUAAUAAAAUCAAGUUUGUUGUUAAAAAGUAAAUUCUAGGCGGGACGUGGUGGCUCACAUCUGUAAUCCCAGCAAUUUGGGAGGCUGAGGCAGGCAGAUCACCUGAGGUCAGGAGUUUGAGACCAGCCUGGCAAACAUGGUGAAACCCCAUAUCUAUUAAAAAUACAAAGAAUUAGCUGGGCGUGGUGGCAGGUACCUGGAAACCCAGCUAUUUGGGAGGCUGAAACAGGAGAAUCACUUGAACCUGGGAGGCAGAGGCUGCAGUGAGCUGAGAUCACACCACAGCACUCCAGCCUGGGUGACAGAGUGAGACUCUGCGCUUUGCAGUCCCCAAAAAAACCAUGAAGCCCUGAGAGUAAUGAAAAGCUUCCUGACAUUGAGGUCACUGUGGAAGAUCAGAGGAUCAGAGAUCUCUCCUCUACACGAGGUGCCAUCCUUUCCUGAAGGAGCUCCUUGUAAAGUGCAUGAGGUGUUCCUUUUGGUAAAAAGACACACUGCGCAACCACAGAGACCUGAGCCUGAACCUAUAAAGAUUUGAACAAGAUCAGCGGCAACAUCAGAUUCUCGUGAGCACGAACCCUGUUGUGAACUGUGCAUGCAAGGGAUCUACCUUGCUCUGUCCUUAGGAGAAUCUAAUGCCUGAUGAUCUGUCACUGUCUCCCAUCACCCCCACAUGGGACCAUCUAGUUGCAGAAAAACAAGCUAAGGCCUCCCACUCAUUCUACAUUAUGGUCCUUAGCCGAGAUGUCUCACCCCACUCUCUAUGAUGCAACAAGAAGCCCCUGGGGAACGUUUCAGUCCCAGUCUGUACUAUUGUCAUGUGCUCAUCACAGUCUGAACCACCUAAGCUAAAGAUUCUUUUGAGAACAAGGGCUAGCCUGUGGUUUCAUGGCCUUUCUUCCAUUUGGGGUUCUUGCCAAGUGGAAUUUAAAUGACCUCUUAUCAAGAUGGAUAAACCCAAGUUUCCCAGUGCUGGAAUACAGAAAAUGGAUGGACAAGUAAGUCCCACUCAGCACCCAUAGCCCAGACAUGGGGACCUCAACACACCUGGGCCCCAGACAUCACCUUUCAUU